AUUUAUAUAGUAUAAAAAUUACAUUUAACUUCCAAUUAAAAAAUCUAUUAUUUAGUAUAAAUA
rnacentral:tRNA from 1 species